rnacentral:rRNA from 1 species
UACAGAGGUCUCAACCGUUGUUCGGAUUCAUUGGGCGUAAAGGGUGCGUAGGCGGUCGGGUAAGUCGGAUGUGAAAUCUCAGGGCUCAACCCUGAAACUGCAUUCGAUACUGCCUGGCUAGGGUACUGGAGAGGAGACUGGAAUUUACGGUGUAGCAGUGAAAUGCGUAGAUAUCGUAAGGAAGACCAGUGGCGAAGGCGGGUCUCUGGGACGGUACUGACGCUGAGACGCGAAAGCGUGGGGAGCGAACAGG